GUAAUGAUGAUUCGUCUCUUUAUGUUCCCUGGCCAUCGCCCUAUGAUGGCGCCCAGAAUACUGUGAAUGAAUCUCGCCCCGCCUCUCCAGUCACUGCCCAGUCGCCACCUCCGAUUGGCAUAGGCCCCUCUGUCCCCACCCCUCUGUACCCCAUCCUCGGGGCGGACGGAUCCUAUUAUUACCCUGUCCCUCUCCCACCUACCUCCACACUAUCCAUUAUUCCGCCCUCUCUGCUUCCAGUGCUAUUC